rnacentral:sRNA from 1 species
CUUUAACAAUCUGGAACAAGCUGAAAAUUUGAAACCAUCAAUAGGGUCAUUGACGAUAUUGAUGCGUCUCUCAACAUACUCCAAUUCGAAGACACCUUCGG